rnacentral:rRNA from 1 species
AUUGAACGCUGGCGGCAGGCCUAACACAUGCAAGUCGAGCGGAUGAAGGGAGCUUGCUCCUGGAUUCAGCGGCGGACGGGUGAGUAAUGCCUAGGAAUCUGCCUGGUAGUGGGGGAUAACGUCCGGAAACGGGCGCUAAUACCGCAUACGCCCUGAGGGAGAAAGUGGGGGAUCUUCGGACCUCACGCUAUCAGAUGAUCCUAGGUCGGAUUAGCUAGUUGGUGGGGUAAAGGCCUACCAAGGCGACGAUCCGUAACUGGUCUGAGAGGAUGAUCAGUCACACUGGAACUGAGACACGGUCCAGACUCCUACGGGAGGCAGCAGUGGGGAAUAUUGGACAAUGGGCGAAAGCCUGAUCCAGCCAUGCCGCGUGUGUGAAGAAGGUCUUCGGAUUGUAAAGCACUUUAAGUUGGGAGGAAGGGCAGUAAGUUAAUACCUUGCUGUUUUGACGUUACCAACAGAAUAAGCACCGGCUAACUUCGUG